rnacentral:rRNA from 1 species
UCGGGAAUUUUGGGCAAUGGGCGAAAGCCUGACCCAGCAACGCCGCGUGAAGGAUGAAGUCUCUCGGGAUGUAAACUUCGUAAGAAUAGGAAGAAUAAAUGACGGUACUAUUUGUAAGGUCCGGCUAACUACGUGCCAGCAGCCGCGGUAAUACGUAGGGACCAAGCGUUGUUCGGAUUUACUGGGCGUAAAGGGCGCGUAGGCGGCGUGGUAAGUCACUUGUGAAAUCUCCGACCUUAACUCGGAACGGUCAAGUGAUACUGCUGUGCUAGAGUACAGAAGGGGCAAUCGGAAUUCUUGGUGUAGCGGUGAAAUGCGUAGAUAUCAAGAGGAACACCUGAGGUGAAGACGGGUUGCUGGGCUGAUACUGACGCUGAGGCGCGAAAGCUAGGGUAGCAAACGGGAUUAGAUACCCACGUAGUCCCUGAGCGGGCUGGCAAGGCGCAU